GUAGUUCUUUCCCAUCAAACC
rnacentral:miRNA from 1 species